CAAACCUUCAAGAUUCUUCAUAAAAGUCUCUCUUUUCCUCUUCUAAAAUCCUCUCAAAAUGCCUCUCUCUCCCUAAAUUCGAGAUUCCUCAAAUACACUCAAAGAAACAACCAUAUAAUCUCUCAAAACUCAUCUCCAAAGCAAUCCAAUACCACCCAUGUCAAGCCCAAAGACUUCCAAGCUAAAACUCCAUGGAUCCUUGGUUUCUUCUCCUUCUUAGCCUUUGAUUUUCAUGGGUUCUCGAAGUAAUCAGAGUGCGCAGCGCAGCGGAGUUCGAGGAAUCACGAACCUUGAUGCCUUGCACGUCUUACCCGGAUUUCGUAAAAUAUCAUGUUUUCACUUUCGUCUAUAAAAAGGUCUUAUGUACAAAAAUGGAGAUUUUCAUGAUUAUAUUUUACUCUGAUUUAGGAAUCCAGUCUAUUAAACGGGGGUAUUUAAA